rnacentral:rRNA from 1 species
CACGUAGGGUGCGAGCGUUGUCCGGAAUUAUUGGGCGUAAAGAGCUCGUAGGCGGUUUGUCGCGUCUGCUGUGAAAACCAGAGGCUCAACCUCUGGCCUGCAGUGGGUACGGGCAGACUUGAGUGCGGUAGGGGAGAAUGGAAUUCCUGGUGUAGCGGUGGAAUGCGCAGAUAUCAGGAGGAACACCGAUGGCGAAGGCAGUUCUCUGGGCCGUAACUGACGCUGAGGAGCGAAAGCGUGGGAGCGAACAGG